GUGCUUGCUUCAGCAGCACAUACACUAAAAUUGGAACCAUACAGAGAAGAUUCACAUGGCCCCUGCACAAGGAUGACAUGCAUAUUUGUGAAGCAUUCCAUAUUAAA
ensembl:snRNA U6 U6 spliceosomal RNA